UGGGGAAUAUUGGACAAUGGGCGGAAGCCUGAUCCGGCCAUGCCGCGUGUGUGAAGAAGGUCUUCGGAUUGUAAAGCACUUUAAGUUGGGAGGAAGGCAGUAAGUUAAUACCUUGCUGUUUGACGUUACCGACAGAAUAAGCACCGGCUAACUCUGUGUCAG
rnacentral:rRNA from 1 species